UCCUACGGGAGGCAGCAGUGGGGAAUAUUGCACAAUGGGCGCAAGCCUGAUGCAGCAACGCCGCGUGAGGGACGAAGGCCUUCGGGUUGUAAACCUCUUUUAGUAGGGAAGAAGCGACUGGGUUUUCCUGGGAGUGACGGUACCUGCAGAAAAAGCACCGGCUAACUACGUGCCAGCAGCCGCGGUAAUACGUAGGGUGCAAGCGUUGUCCGGAAUUAUUGGGCGUAAAGAGCUCGUAGGCGGUUUGUCGCGUCUGCUGUGAAAACCCGAGGCUCAACCUCGGGCCUGCAGUGGGUACGGGCAGACUAGAGUGCGGUAGGGGAGAUUGGAAUUCCUGGUGUAGCGGUGGAAUGCGCAGAUAUCAGGAGGAACACCAAUGGCGAAGGCAGAUCUCUGGGAUGUAACUGACGCUGAGGAGCGAAAGCAUGGGGAGCGAACAGGAUUAGAUACCCUGGUAGUCCAUGCCGUAAACGUUGGGAACUAGAUGUGGGGACCAUUCCACGGUCUCCGUGUCGCAGCUAACGCAUUAAGUUCCCCGCCUGGGGAGUACGGCCGCAAGGCUAAAACUCAAAGGAAUUGACGGGGGCCCGCACAAGCGGCGGAGCAUGCGGAUUAAUUCGAUGCAACGCGAAGAACCUUACCAAGGCUUGACAUAUACCGGAAACGGCUGGAAACAGUCGCCCCGCAAGGUCGGUAUACAGGUGGUGCAUGGUUGUCGUCAGCUCGUGUCGUGAGAUGUUGGGUUAAGUCCCGCAACGAGCGCAACCCUCGUCCUAUGUUGCCAGCACGUAAUGGUGGGAACUCAUGGGAUACUGCCGAGGUCAACUCGGAGGAAGGUGGGGAUGACGUCAAAUCAUCAUGCCCCUUAUGUCUUGGGCUUCACGCAUGCUACAAUGGCCGGUACAAAGGGCUGCGAUACCGCAAGGUGGAGCGAAUCCCAAAAAGCCGGUCUCAGUUCGGAUUGAGGUCUGCAACUCGACCUCAUGAAGUCGGAGUCGCUAGUAAUCGCAGAUCAGCAACGCUGCGGUGAAUACGUUCCCGGGCCUUGUACACACCGCC
rnacentral:rRNA from 1 species